AACGAACGCUGGCGGCAGGCUUAACACAUGCAAGUCGAGCGCCCCGCAAGGGGAGCGGCAGACGGGUGAGUAACGCGUGGGAAUCUACCCAUCCCUACGGAACAACUCCGGGAAACUGGAGCUAAUACCGUAUACGCCCUUUGGGGGAAAGAUUUAUCGGGGAUGGAUGAGCCCACGUUGGAUUAGCUAGUUGGUGGGGUAAUGGCCUACCAAGGCAACGAUCCAUAGCUGGUCUGAGAGGAUGAUCAGCCACACUGGGACUGAGACACGGCCCAGACUCCUACGGGAGGCAGCAGUGGGGAAUAUUGGACAAUGGGCGCAAGCCUGAUCCAGCCAUGCCGCGUGAGUGAUGACGGCCCUAGGGUUGUAAAGCUCUUUCACCGGUGAAGAUAAUGACGGUAACCGGAGAAGAAGCCCCGGCUAACUUCGUG
rnacentral:rRNA from 1 species